rnacentral:lncRNA from 1 species
GAGAAUUUGUCUGUCCUGAAUUGCUGGGAAGGAGCUUUUAAAUCAUUAGUAUUUCACAAAUGAUAUUUGUGUCUUCGUUAUCACGGUGGAGACUUCAGACCAUGCCUGGGUUUAUACUAAUAAGGAAGAUAGAGUAUGAUCACAUUAGAAAGACCAAGCAUGUGAUUGGAGAGUUAGAGAUUGAGCCACUCGAUCUCAGACCAGCCUCCUUCAGGAAGGGGAAGUGGGCUGGAGACUUGACUGCAAUCUCAGGGCCAAUAAUUUAAUAAAUUAUGCAUAUUAAGUGAGACCUCAAUAAAAACUCCAAACGCCAAGGCUCUGGUGAACCUCCCAGUUGGUAAACACAUCUAUGUGCUAGAAAGGUGACAUGUUCAUGUUCCACAGGAAGAGGAAAAGGAAGGUCCAUGUUGGGGACCCUCCUAGACCUCACCCUAUGCAUCUCUUCAUUUGGCUGGUCCUGAUUUAUAUCUUUUCUGACAAAAGUGCAAUUGUGAGUUAGCAUUUUCUUGAGUUCUGGGAGUUGUCCUAGCAAAUUAUGAAAUCUGAAAUGGUCAUGGGAACCCCUGCAUUUGUAGUCAUUUAAUCAGAAGUGCAGUUGGCCUGGGGACCCUCGAAUUUCUGGCUGGCAUCUUAAGUAGGACAGCCUUAAUGGGGUCUGUGGCCUUAACCUGUGGAAUCUGUGCUGAUUCCAGGUGGUUACUGCCAGAAAUGUAUAGCAGUAGUUUGUAUAUCUGACUUCACUUUGGAAAGACAUCAGUUUUAGACACAAAAACUCAGUAAAUGCUACACUGGGUUAUUGAAAAACCUGUGAUGACCUCCUACCUCAUUGCCUGUUGUUCCAAAUAGGAGUAAAACCCUGGCCUCUCUGCCCGGCAACAAAGCCUGCCAUUAACCAAAGUCAUGUAUCUUUGAUGCCAAAAUACGACAGUAUAAGAAAGAGGCAUUAUUAGUCCUCUGCCCAGAUCUUCUUAGAUCUCUGUUCAGGUUCUGUUUCUCUUCUAUUUUCUUUGAGAUUUGGUUUCAAAAGAGCCAUGUACCUGCAACUCUUUCUGGAGAACUUCUCCAGGGUGACUGGAGCUGCUUCACCCAGGCUCAGAAAACCAACAGUGUCUGGUUUCUUGGGUCCCCUGGGAGUAAUACUUAACCAACGAUUGAAGCUGUGGAAAUAUGAACGCCCAGCUUCCUUGCUUUGAAUUGCGAUAAACCCUAAGGUAUAAUUUACACUCCAGUCGACUGAGCUCAGGACUCUGCCUGAAAUUAUACCCUUACUUGGCUUUUCUCCUUCUCUGUCCCGCUCCCCCACUCCUUUUCUGGAUUCUCCUAGGAAUACUUCCUUAAUAAAUCACUAGCCCACAAAUCCUUGACUCAAGGUCCACUUCAGGGGAACCUAACCUAAAACAGUUCCCAAUUAUUCACUAGCCAGCAGGUCGCCAUGUGACUGGCAGUGCUGGAGAGGAGGAGGGAUCUACUUCUCAGCCCUCAUUAUAGAGUCAAACUUGGCCAUGUGAUUUGCUUUGACCAAUGGAAUUCAAGAAGAAAUAAUGCUUGCCAUACAUUAUUGACUCAGACUUAUCACCUGGUACUGGGAACUGCUCUUUGGGGGAAGGGCUAUGAUAGGGUCUGCUCCUUCAGCCUGGACCCCAGAACAAGACAUAUCAUGCAGAGCCAUGGCUGACAAACAGGCAAGAAAAAAACCUUUAUUAUUAUAAGACGUGGAGAAUUGGGGGUUGUUACUGCAGUGUACCCUAACAGAUUUAAUAUAGGCGAUAUUUAAUGUAGUGUAGCAAAGCUAAGAGAAGAUGCCCUGGCAUGAGCCUGGGGUCAAAGUCAAACUCUACUACUUGCUACCUCUAUAACCUUGAUCAAUGACUGAGGCUUUCUGAGCCUCUGUUUCUCCAUUUUCAGGAUGAGGAUAUUAAUGAUGCCUACCUCAUAAGAACAUUGUGGAAAUCAAAUGAGACAGCAUAUACAGAGUGCUUCAAACAGUGCCCGACAUGGUAAAUGUUUAAUAAAUAUUAACUGAAGUGAACUGUAAUUAUGAACUACCAUCAAUCAUCUCCAAGUUUUCAACGUUUUCUCCUAUGAUCACUGAACUUGCUGGUUGCCUCUUGAGACAGAACAUUCCUGUCUUCUCAACCUUCAUAUGUUGAAAUCUUAAGCCCCAAAGUGAUAGGAGGUGGGGCUUUUGGGAGGUGACUAGGUCAUGAGCCUUCAGGAAUGGAACUAGUGCCCUCAUAAAAUGGGCCACAAGACAGCUCUCUCUUUCUACCAUAGGAAGAUACAACAAGAAGACUGCAAAUUGGGAGUCCUCACCAGAACCUAACCAUGCUGGCACACUGAUCACAGACUUCUAGUCUCCAGAACUGGGGAAAAUAAAAUGUUGUCUGUAACCCACCCAUCUAUGGCUCUCAGUUAUAGCCCAAAGUGAUCAAGAUGCCUCCCUAGCAACCAUUCCACUCUUCCCAUAAGGUUCAGGUUCUAUUUGGGGAUCUAUAUAGUUCUGGGGGAAACGAGUUCAUGGACUUCAUAUGGCCUACUCAAAAGAUAUGAUUACACCUUUUUUUUUUUUUUUUUGUACAAGGGAUUUAACUCAGAGAUACUUGACCACUGAGUCACAUCCAUAGCCCUUUUUAAUUCUGAGACAGGAUCUCACUAAGUUGUUAGGGUCUCUCUCAAUUGCUGAGGCUGGCUUUGAACCGUGGUCUCUCCAAGUCCAGAUUACAACAAAUAUAAAC